rfam:Mycobacterium haemophilum strain TC3 contig_9, whole genome shotgun sequence.
CGAGUUGGCCGGGCGGCCGCGGCUCGUGCCGGGCUUCUGUUAGUUUCCAGAGGUCCGGUACCGGAGUCGAGGAAAGUCCGGACUUCACAGAGCAGGGUGAUUGCUAACAGCAAUCCGAGGUGACUCGCGGGAUAGUGCCACAGAAAACAAACCGCCACCCUCGCGGUGGUAAGGGUGAAACGGUGCGGUAAGAGCGCACCAGCAUCCCGGGUGACCGGGGUGGCUUGGUAAACCCCACCCGAAGCAAGGCCAAGAAGGCCGCACCAUAAGUGCGGCCGCGCAGGCGUUCGAGGGCUGCUCGCCCGAGCCUGCGGGUAGGCCGCUCGAGGCACCCGGCAACGGUGUGUCCAGAUGGAUGGUCGCCGCCGCGCUGCCGUUGGCUAUGCCGCGGCGGCGGGGAACAGAAUCCGGCUUACAGGCCAACUCGCCCG